GCUUUUGUUUUAAUCCUUAUUCGUGAGAUUGCCUUCUUAUGCGAUAGAUAUAUUAUUAAAACACUAUCAACUUCCAUUCUCUAUUUGAUUUCCUCACUUAAUAUACAUAUUUCGAUCAAAUUGGAAAGCUUGUGCUAUUGCAGUAGGGCGCGUAACAUUCUCGAAUCACAAGGUAGCUGAUUUUUCUUAAUUAUAUAUGUUUAUUCAAUCUUUCUACACAUAUAUUUACUCCACUCCAUUUUGUAGUGACUCCAAUUUAAUUAAUUUUUUCAGUACUAUUCAUUAGAGUGAUUGGGCAUAUUUGGAGCACAAAGUAGGUACUUCCAAUGCAUUUUUAUGCCUCUGGACAUUUAAUCACAAUUUUUUUCCUUCUCACCCAUAAUCAAUAAAUUUGCUCAAUAAAAAAAAAUUAAUAAUAAUAAUAAUAACAGUAAGUACAAAAAUCCAUAAAUCCAAACAUACAAUCUGAAUAUGAAUAAAAGGUAAAAAAUAA
rnacentral:lncRNA from 1 species